rnacentral:rRNA from 1 species
AGGACGAACGCUGGCGGCGUGCUUAACACAUGCAAGUCGAACGGUGAAGCCUUUCGGGGUGGAUCAGUGGCGAACGGGUGAGUAACACGUGGGCAAUCUGCCCUGCAUUCUGGGACAAGCCUUGGAAACGGGGUCUAAUACCGGAUAUGACCUGCCUCCGCAUGGGGGUGGGUGGAAAGCUCCGGCGAUGCAGGAUGAGCCCGCGGCCUAUCAGCUAGUUGGUGGAGUAACGGCCCACCAAGGCGACGACGGGUA